rnacentral:rRNA from 1 species
AUUGAACGCUGGCGGCAUGCUUUACACAUGCAAGUCGAACGGUAACAGGCCUUCGGGUGCUGACGAGUGGCGAGCGGGGGAGUAAUGCAACGGAACGUGCCCAGAGGUGGGGGAUAACGCAGCGAAAGCUGUGCUAAUACCGCAUGUGAGCUGAGGAUGAAAGCGGGGGACCAAGCAGCAAUGUUUGGCCUCGCGCCUCUGGAGCGGCCGAUGUCAGAUUAGGUAGUUGGUGGGGUAAAGGCCUACCAAGCCGACGAUCUGUAGCUGGGCUGAGAGGACGACCAGCCACACUGGAACUGAGACACGGCCCAGACUCCUACGGGAGGCAGCAGUGGGGAAUUUUGGACAAUGGGCGAAAGCCUGAUCCAGCAAUGCCGCGUGCGUGAAGAAGGCCUUCGGGUUGUAAACCGCUUUUGUACGGAACGAAAAGGCUCUGGCUAAUACCUGGGGCUGAUGACGGUACCGUAAGAGUAAGCACCGGCUAACUACGUG